AUGAGACAAUCCUAUGCCUUAAUACUUCUAGCUAAGUUUCUAAGUAGUACUGCUUGGUGAGAUUGCCAAUUACUUUGUAUGUGUAUUGUUAAAAACAGAUCCAACUUGAAAAAGGAUAUGGAACUUUUGAACAUUUGAUUUGUAAAUUUUCAUGUAUAUUGAUAUUGGAGACAUAUCUUUUGAUGGUCAUUCACUGGUCAUUCUACAUCCAGGCUCCAGCCCACUUCAGUUCCUUCUGUUUUACUAUUCGCCUCAUGACGUUUGCUCUACCUUCUCUUUACAGGUCUAGUUCCUGGUGAUUUCAUACAUGUCGUAGGAGAUGCUCAUGUUUAUCGCAAUCAUGUCAGACCUCUGCAAGACCAGCUUCAGAAGUUGCCUAGACCUUUCCCAGUGCUGAAGAUCAAUCCGCAGAAAAAGGACAUAGAUUCCUUUGUUGCUGCUGACUUUGAGCUUACCGGCUAUGAUCCUCACCAAAGAAUUGAAAUGAAAAUGGCAAUAUGAAGUUCCAUGCAGUUAGUCCUGGAAUUCCUCUGCUCUUAGGAUAUGUGGCUCAUAUUUUGAG